UCGGUGACAACUCACAUUGCUAUUCAUGACAAGGGUUGACGCGAAGAAAGAGCAGGUCGAUUGCGUACCCUCUACACGUACCCCUGGUGUAAUUAUUUCGUUUAAAGCGCCAUUCUGAGAGAAAUUAUUACAUGUCCAUCAUUUUCUGACUGCUCCUAUUGUGAUUUUUUGAAGGCAGGAAAUCUUAACAGGGUA